rnacentral:rRNA from 1 species
CCCUUAGAUGUUCUGGGCCGCACGUGUGCUACACUGAGUAAUUCAAUGGGUAAGGGAACGCUAGAGCAUUACCUAAUCUUGAAAUUUGCUCGUGAUGGGGAUCGACGGUUGCAAUUUUCCGUCGUGAACGAGGAAUACCUUGUAGGCGCAUGUCAUCAUCAUGCGCCGAAUACGUCCCUGCCCUUUGUACACACCGCCCGUCGCUCCUACCGAUUGAGUGAUCCGGUGAGGCUCUGGGACCUGGACGGAAAGAGCGUUUCGCUUGUUCUGUUUGGGAAACUUGGUCGAACCUUAUCAUUUAGAGGAAGGAGAAGUCGUAACA